UACGAAGGGUCCAAGCGUUGUUCGGAAUCAUUGGGCGUAAAGCGAGCGCAGGCGGAUCAGUAAGUCAGGUGUGAAAUCUCGAGGCUCAACCUCGAAAUUGCGCCUGAAACUACUAGUCUAGAAUGUCGGAGGGGAUAGGGGAAUUUCACGUGUAGGGGUAAAAUCCGUAGAGAUGUGAAGGAACACCGGAGGCGAAGGCGCCUAUCUGGACGACUAUUGACGCUGAGGCUCGAAAGCGUGGGGAGCAAACAGG
rnacentral:rRNA from 2 species